CUCAUGGAUACUAGUUGGGUUUGUUUCUGCUGAGCCACAUCAGGAAAUACCUACUUCUUCUUUCAGAUUUGCCUAGUUGGAGCCAUUUUCACUGGUCUUGGCUUUUAUUCCAUGUCAUCUGAAGACUCUUUCUCCUUUGGCCAUUUUGAUUAGACUUGAGUAUUUCAGCUUCAGAGUCACAUUUCAAUACUUAGGACAAUUCAUUCUGCAAAGAACAGCUCCCAUCAACCAAAGCAGAUUGCAUUAUCAUUCACAGAUUGUCAUUGCAUCUCAUGGAGGUGGGUUUAUACCCCAUGAAUAUAGAGCCUGGCCAUGUGGCUUCGCUCUGACCAACAGCAUGUAAGUGGAAGUGAUGCAUGUUGCUACCGGGCAGAAGACAGCAUAUGGUUUGUCAUCUUUCAUUCCCUUAUGAUCUGAUGCUGAACUAUAUUCUAGAUGGAAUCUGUUCUACAGCUGGGUCCUGGAAUGGAGGCAAGGUGGAACUUCUGGUGGGCAAAUCAUGGAAAUAAGAAAUAAAUCUCUAUGCUUGCCAGCCUUCCAGCCUUGGAAGAUUAUUUGGUGUAGGAGAUAACAGCUUAUCCUGAUGGAAAUAUUCUCUUUCUAUUGGAUACUAUGAGGUCCUGUGGCUAUAGAAGUGAGCACUCAGACCGGGAAAUGUCCCCACAUUCCUGGAAUUCAUGUUCUGGCGGGAGAGAGAAAACAUGCUCUGUCCAAGGCAUGUGGAAGUUCCUGGG